rnacentral:rRNA from 1 species
UUCGCUAAAGGGUGUUCGGGAGGCUACGCCGUAAAACAACCCCAUUUCUAAGGUUGACCUCGGAUCAGGUAGGGAUACCCGCUGA